UACGUAGGGACCAAGCGUUGUUCGGAAUUAUUGGGCGUAAAGGGUGCGUAGGCGGUUUGGUAAGUCUCUUGUGAAAUCUAUGGGCUCAACUCAUAGUCUGCAAGGGAAACUGCCGGGCUUGAGUGUGGGAGAGGUGAGUGGAAUUUCCGGUGUAGCGGUGAAAUGCGUAGAUAUCGGGAGGAACACCUAUGGCGAAGGCAGCUCGCUGGGACGUUACUGACGCUGAGACGCGAAAGCGUGGGGAGCAAACAGG
rnacentral:rRNA from 1 species